rnacentral:rRNA from 1 species
AACGAACGCUGGCGGCACGCCUAACACAUGCAAGUCGAACAAGACCUUCGGGUCUAGUGGCGCACGGGUGCGUAACGCGUGGGAAUCUGCCCUUGGGUUCGGAAUAACAGUUGGAAACGACUGCUAAUACCGGAUGAUGACUUCGGUCCAAAGAUUUAUCGCCCAGGGAUGAGCCCGCGUAGGAUUAGCUUGUUGGUGAGGUAAAGGCUCACCAAGGCGACGAUCCUUAGCUGGUCUGAGAGGAUGAUCAGCCACACUGGGACUGAGACACGGCCCAGACUCCUACGGGAGGCAGCAGUGGGGAAUAUUGGACAAUGGGCGAAAGCCUGAUCCAGCAAUGCCGCGUGAGUGAUGAAGGCCUUAGGGUUGUAAAGCUCUUUUACCCGGGAUGAUAAUGACAGUACCGGGAGAAUAAGCCCCGGCUAACUCCGUGCCAGCCGCCGCAGUAA